rnacentral:rRNA from 1 species
ACAAGCAGCGAGGUAUGUGGUUUAAUUCGACGCUACGCGAAGAACCUUACCUGGGCUUGACAUGCUUGAGAAAGGACCAAGAAACUGGUCCCCCCAUGACCGCAAGGUCAUGGCUCAUCCACAGGUGCUGCAUGGUUGUCGUCAGCUCGUGUCGUGAGAUGUAAGGUUAAGUCCUUGAACGAGCGCAACCCCUUUCGUCAGUUGCAAACCAGCAAUGGCGCACCCUGACGAUACUGCCAGCUAAAAGUUGGAGGAAGGAGGGGAUGACGUCAAAUCCUCAUGGCCUUUAUGUCCAGGGCUACACACAUGCGACAAUGGUCGGUACAACGGGUUGCAACACCGCGAGGUGAAGCCAAUCCCUAAAAACCGGCCUCAGUUCAGAUUGCAGACUGCAAUUCGUCUACAUGAAGAUGGAGUUGCUAGUAACCGCGGGUCAGCUACACCGCGGUGAAUAUGUUCCCGGGCCUU